UGGAUUCUCCCGGGCUCUCCCGUUGCUCCAGGGGCGCCUGCCAGGCCCCGGCCCCCGGCGGUUGGUGGAAGGGCCGGCGCAGUCGCAGCUUCACAGCUCCAGUGGGCGGCUCGCUGAGGCGCCCCCAUGCGUGCGGGAGGCCCGAGGGCAGGUUGAGGGAGCGGCGCCGCUGGCUGUGGCCUAGCAGUAGCGGCGGUGAGGGCGACCUGAGCGAGCCGGGUGGGCCCAGGCGCCCGGAGGCUCGGCGUGGGGCUGGGGGCUCCCGCAGCGAGUGGGGGCGGCGGGCCGGGGGCGGGAAGGGCAGCUGGUAGGGACCCGCGUGCAUGGACAGCUGAGGCGACGGAGGUGCCAAGGGCGAGCCGUAGCCGGGGCCCGGCAGGCUCCUCAGCGAGGGCUGGGGCGAGGCCAGCGGGGACCACGCCCCCGCGACGCCCCUGUGGAGGCCACCCGGAAGCCGAAGGCCGCCCCUUGCCGCUUCACCUGGGGCCGCGGGAAGAGGCGGAACUUGCGGAUGAGAAACAGCUUGGACCUGGCGGGCUCGUCCGUGCCUUGCUGCUCGAAGAAGGCGGCGCUGCGCAGGCGGAAGGAGGUCCUGGAAGCCCUCGAGCCCCUACAGCCACUUGCGGGAGCCUGAGUGAUGGAAAGGAGCCUCGUCCUUGAAGGGCAGGAAUCCCAGGGGCUCGCCGAAUCCUAGACGCUGCGGCUGCGGGGGAACCUCCGGAGCCGGCCCCAGGCCGCAGGAUCUCGGCACCCGACGGGAAGGGCAGCUUGCGGGAGCCCACGCGGGAGCCCGAGCUCUGCAGCCAGGUAUCCAUCGAGGCCUGCUCGCUGCCCAACUCCUCGGCCUGCUUGAUGAGGAACUUCUUUGUGAGCCAGUUGAUGGCGGUGGACGCCUUGCUGAGUGACCGGGCGCACGGCUGCAGGCGGCGGUAGCCACUGGCGGCCGGGGAAGCGGAUCACCAUGAAGGACGGCUUCUUGCCCUUCGUUGCCCGCUCCUUCUUGCCCAUGUGCAUCUGCGUCAUGAGUUUCGACCUGGACUUGAGCACGGUGCGGGCCUUCUUGCGCUUGCUCUUCUUGGGGCCGGUGUGGAGGCCCCGAAAAAGGCCGAGACUCUGUGGAACUUGUCCUUCUUGGAGAUCUUGGGUGUGUGAUUGCGGAUGCCCAUGAACAGCCGCGACGUCCCCUUCAGGCUCCUUGUGUGUUUCUCCGGCUCUGGCGCCUUCUUCCCUUUCUUGGCUUUCUUCUCAUCUUCCUCCACCAUGGUGGCUGCCUGCUCCCUGCUGGGCCUGGGGCCAGUGUCACCGGCUCAGGGACUUGGAGACCCGGGGACCUGCUCUGUCUCCUGCCUGCGGCUGGACACGCGGCCUCCUUAGGCCGGAAGCAGACUGGACUCGCCCCGGGUGGCGUGGGGGGGGGCCGGGCCAGACUCCGGGAGGGUGGAUCCAUAAUUCAUCUCCUCUAGAGCCGCCUUGGGUUUCACCCUAGGGCAGUGGCGGAAAGUGUGUGGGUGUUGUUUACCGGGAUGGGGAAGCCUGCCUGUGAGGCCUGUGCUGGGUGGGACAUUCUGGCCUUGGAGUCGUCAUGGGAACAUCAGUGCUGGUCCUGGUCAGGUCCUCCCUGGACCACAGCUGGCUCAAGCCCCUGAAGAGAGCCUUUGGG
rnacentral:lncRNA from 13 species